CGGCGUGCUUAACACAUGCAAGUCGAACGGGAUCUGCGUGGCCUUUGUGGUUGUGUGGUGAGAGUGGCGAACGGGUGAGUAACACGUGAGUAACCUGCCUUUUUCUUUGGGAUAACGCUCAGAAAUGGGUGCUAAUACUGGAUGUUCUGCGCUUUCCGCAUGGGGGGUGUGGGAAAGGGGCCUUUGUGGUUUCUGGAGGGAGAUGGGCUCGCGGCUUAUCAGCUUGUUGGUGGGGUGAUGGCUUACCAAGGCUUUGACGGGUAGCCGGCCUGAGAGGGUGGGCGGUCACAUUGGGACUGAGAUACGGCCCAGACUCCUACGGGAGGCAGCAGUGGGGAAUUUUGCACAAUGGGGGGAACCUUGAUGCAGCGACGCCGCGUGAGGGAUGGAGGCCUUCGGGUUGUGAACCUCUUUCGCUCGUGUGCAAGCCGCUAUUUGGGUAGUGGUGAGUGUAGCGGGUAAAGAAGCGCCGGCUAACUACGUGCCAGCAGCCGCGGUAAUACGUAGGGCGCGAGCGUUGUCCGGAUUUAUUGGGCGUAAAGGGCUUGUAGGCGGUUUGUCGCGCCUGUCGUGUAAUCCUCUGGCUUAAMUGGGGGUGUGCGGUGGGUACGGKCAGGCUUGAGUGCGGUAGGGGAGA
rnacentral:rRNA from 1 species